UACGUAGGGAGCAAGCGUUGUCCGGAAUCAUUGGGCGUAAAGCGCGCGUAGGCGGCCUCAUAAGUCCGUUGUGAAAGUCAAAGGCUCAACCUUUGAAAGCCGAUGGAUACUGUGAGGCUAGAGUCCGGAAGAGGCGAGUGGAAUUCCUGGUGUAGCGGUGGAAUGCGCAGAUAUCAGGAGGAACACCAGCGGCGAAGGCGCUGCUCUGGGCCGGUACUGACGCUGAGGAGCGAAAGCGUGGGGAGCGAACAGG
rnacentral:rRNA from 1 species